rnacentral:rRNA from 1 species
AUACUCUCUAGUGACCGAUAGUGAACCAGUACCGUGAGGGAAAGGUGAAAAGCACCCCGGAAGGGGAGUGAAAUAGAACCUGAAACCGUGUGCUUACAAAUAGUCAGAGCCCGUUAAUGGGUGAUGGCGUGCCUUUUGUAGAAUGAACCGGCGAGUUACGAUUUGAUGCAAGGUUAAGCAGUAAAUGUGGAGCCGUAGCGAAAGCGAGUCUGAAUAGGGCGAAUGAGUAUCUGGUCGUAGACCCGAAACCAAGUGAUCUACCCAUGUCCAGGUUGAAGUUCAGGUAACACUGAAUGGAGGACCGAACCGACUUACGUUGAAAAGUGAGCGGAUGAGGUGUGGGUAGCGGAGAAAUUCCAAUCGAACUUGGAGAUAGCUGGUUCUCUCCGAAAUAGCUUUAGGGCUAGCCUCAAGUGAUGAUUAU